rnacentral:rRNA from 1 species
UCGGGAAUAUUGCGCAAUGGAGGAAACUCUGACGCAGUGACGCCGCGUAUAGGAAGAAGGUUUUCGGAUUGUAAACUAUUGUCGUGAGGGAAGAAAUUGACAGUACCUCAGGAGGAAGCUCCGGCUAACUAUGUGCCAGCAGCCGCGGUAAUACAUAGGGAGCAAGCGUUAUCCGGAUUUAUUGGGUGUAAAGGGUGCGUAGACGGGAAAUUAAGUUAGUUGUGAAAUCCCUCGGCUUAACUGAGGAACUGCAACUAAAACUGGUUUUCUUGAGUACUGGAGAGGAAAGUGGAAUUCCUAGUGUAGCGGUGAAAUGCGUAGAUAUUAGGAGGAACACCAGUGGCGAAGGCGACUUUCUGGACAGAAACUGACAUUGAGGCACGAAAGUGUGGGGAGCAAACAGGAUUAGAUACC